rnacentral:rRNA from 1 species
AGUGAACGCUGGCGGUAGGCCUAACACAUGCAAGUCGAACGGCAGCACAGUAAGAGCUUGCUCUUACGGGUGGCGAGUGGCGGACGGGUGAGGAAUACAUCGGAAUCUACUUUUUCGUGGGGGAUAGCGUAGGGAAACUUACGCUAAUACCGCAUACGACCUACGGGUGAAAGCAGGGGAUCUUCGGACCUUGCGCGAUUGAAUGAGCCGAUGUCGGAUUAGCUAGUUGGCGGGGUAAAGGCCCACCAAGGCGACGAUCCGUAGCUGGUCUGAGAGGAUGAUCAGCCACACUGGAACUGAGACACGGUCCAGACUCCUACGGGAGGCAGCAGUGGGGAAUAUUGGACAAUGGGCGCAAGCCUGAUCCAGCCAUACCGCGUGGGUGAAGAAGGCCUUCGGGUUGUAAAGCCCUUUUGUUGGGAAAGAAAAGCAGCGGGUUAAUACCCCGCUGUUCUGACGGUACCCAAAGAAUAAGCACCGGCUAACUUCGUG